rnacentral:snoRNA from 1 species
UGAUGACGGUAAGGGCAAUUUCUGAGCAUACCCUUAAAUCUUUCCCAAGCUUGGUAAAGAUUCUCUCUUUUUUUUGGUCCGAAACUCAGAAUCUCACUUCUCAAAUG